rnacentral:rRNA from 1 species
GUGGGGAAUAUUGGACAAUGGGCGCAAGCCUGAUCCAGCAAUGCCGCGUGUGUGAAGAAGGCCUUCGGGUUGUAAAGCACUUUUGGCAGGAAAGAAAUAGCGCGUGCUAAUACCAUGCGCGAAUGACGGUACCUGCAGAAUAAGCACCGGCUAACUACGUGCCAGCAGCCGCGGUAAGACGUAGGGUGCAAGCGUUAAUCGGAAUUACUGGGCGUAAAGCGUGCGCAGGCGUUUGUGUAAGACAGGUGUGAAAUCCCCGGGCUCAACCUGGGAACUGCACUUGUGACUGCAAGGCUAGAGUGUGUCAGAGGGAGGUGGAAUUCCGCGUGUAGCAGUGAAAUGCGUAGAGAUGCGGAGGAACACCGAUGGCGAAGGCAGCCUCCUGGGAUAACACUGACGCUCAGGCACGAAAGCGUGGGGAGCAAACAGGAUUAGAUACCCCUGUAGUCC